ACCCUAUUCAUAAACAACCUACAAUUUUUUUUUUCAUCUUAUUCAUUUGGUCCCGCGAAUGAAUGCUUCGGUUUCAUUAGGUUAGUUCUGGUUUAUACCUGGAAUCAAAUCGUCCCUGUAACUAGGCUUCUGCGAAAUCAAGCAAUCCACGAGGAACAAGGUUUUUGGUGCUCUGAGGAGAAACAACCCACUUUAAUUGCUCUUCAUUCAUCUACACGCGAAGCGCACAAACCCCUGUUUUUCCAUUCAGCAGGGUUCCGAUAGAUGGCGGUAGAUAAUCCUGAGGAUGGAUUGAAGAAGUUGGAAUAUUUGUCUCUUGUGUCGAAGGUGUGCACCGAGUUGGAGUCCCACACCGGCACCGGCGACAAAGUUCUGGCGGAGUUCAUCACUGAGUUGGGUCGGUCGUCGGAGAAUGUUGAGGAAUUUGACGCGAAAUUGAAGGAGAAUGGUGCGGAAAUGCCGGAUUACUUUGUCCGAACGCUCCUCACUAUUAUUCACGCGAUUCUCCCUCCCAAGCCGAAGGAUUUGAAAAAGGAGAAAGAGACUGUCAACGGCAAGACCAAGUUCAAGGCUCUGGCCAUCGCAGACGAUAGGGACCGGGCCAAGGAGCUUCGGCAGGAGAUGGAAUCUGAGGCAAGGGAGAAGCAGAGUGAGCAAAUUGAGGAAGAUGAUGGGUACAGAGACAGAGAUAGAAGAGAUAGGCGCAGAGAUAGGUAUGAUGAAGAUGAUAGAAGAGAUCAUCGCAGAAGAGGAAGAGACAGAGAUGAUGAAGAUGAUAGAAGGGAUUACGGCAGAAGAGGUAGAGACAGAGAUAGAGACGAUGAAGAUGAUAGAAGGGAUUACAGCCGAAGAGGAAGAGAUAAAUAUGAUAAGGAUAGAGAUAGGGAUGGUGACAGGUAUGAGAGGCGCAGGAGAGAUGAUAAUGAAGAGAAUGGUCGUGGAAGGGAGAAUGGAGAUAGAGAUGGUAAUAGGAAGGCUACACGGCAUGUUUCUGGUGAACCUGAAUUAUAUGCCGUUUACAAAGGGAGGGUGUCCAGGGUAAUGGAAACUGGGUGCUUUGUCCAGUUAGAAGACAUAAGAGGGAAGGAGGGGUUGGUCCAUGUGUCACAGAUGGCCACUCGGAGGAUCACAAAUGCCAAAGACGUCAUUAAGCGCGACCAGGAGGUUUAUGUAAAGGUGAUCUCAGUUUCCGGUCAGAAGUUGUCUCUUUCCAUGAGGGACGUUGAUCAGCACACAGGUAAGGAUCUCCUUCCGUUGAAGAAGAGCUCCGAGGACGAUGCCUUGAGGAUGAAUCCGCAGGGUUCAAGGGAUGGACCGGUUACCAGGACAGGUCUUUCAGGUAUCAGGAUUGUAGAAGAAGACGAUGUUGGUUCUUCACGGAGACCUCUGAAGAGAAUGAGCUCACCGGAGAGAUGGGAAGCAAAACAGUUGAUUGCUUCAGGUGUGAUGAGUGUUUCAGAGUAUCCAACUUAUGACGAGGAGGGAGAUGGAUUGCUGUACCAAGAGGAAGGAGCUGAGGAGGAGCUUGAGAUUGAGUUGAAUGAGGAUGAACCCGCAUUCUUGCAAGGGCAGAGCAGAUACUCAAUGGAUAUGUCUCCUGUUAAGAUUUUUAAGAAUCCUGAAGGUUCUCUGGGUCGAGCUGCUGCACUUCAGUCUGCACUUAUAAAGGAGCGUAGGGAAGUGCGAGAACAGCAACAACGGACAAUGCUUGAUUCAAUUCCAAAGGAUCUGAAUCGGCCUUGGGAAGACCCUAUGCCAGAGUCAGGUGAAAGGCAUCUUGCCCAGGAGCUUAGGGGUGUUGGUUUAUCAGCCUAUGAUAUGCCAGAAUGGAAGAAGGAUGCAUAUGGGAAAACAAUUACCUUUGGGCAAAGGUCGAAGCUUUCUAUUCAAGAACAGAGGCAGAGUUUGCCAAUUUACAAGUUAAAAAAAGAAUUGAUUCAGGCUGUGCAUGAUAAUCAGGUGUUGGUUGUUAUUGGAGAAACUGGUUCGGGUAAGACUACUCAGGUCACACAGUAUCUUGCCGAAGCAGGUUAUACCACAAAAGGAAAAAUUGGAUGUACUCAACCUCGUAGGGUGGCUGCAAUGUCUGUUGCAAAGAGAGUAGCAGAAGAGUUUGGUUGUAGAUUGGGAGAAGAAGUUGGUUAUGCCAUUCGGUUUGAGGAUUGCACUGGACCAGAUACUGUUAUCAAGUACAUGACAGAUGGUAUGCUUCUUAGGGAAAUAUUGGUCGAUGAGAAUCUGUCACAGUAUUCUGUUAUAAUGCUUGACGAAGCCCAUGAAAGAACUAUUCAUACUGAUGUUCUUUUUGGACUGCUCAAGCAGCUAGUGAAGCGAAGACCCGAAUUGCGAUUGAUUGUCACUUCUGCUACUCUGGACGCUGAGAAAUUUUCAGGAUAUUUCUUUAACUGUAACAUCUUUACAAUUCCUGGUAGAACUUUUCCUGUUGAGAUACUUUAUACUAAACAGCCGGAAAGUGAUUAUUUAGAUGCAUCUUUAAUAACUGUCCUACAGAUACACUUGACUGAGCCCGAGGGAGACAUUCUUCUCUUUUUGACUGGGCAAGAGGAGAUUGAUUUUGCUUGCCAAUCUCUAUACGAGAGAAUGAAGGGAUUAGGUAAGAAUGUUCCAGAGCUGAUCAUUUUACCGGUUUAUAGUGCCCUUCCUAGUGAAAUGCAGUCUAGGAUAUUUGAUCCUGCUCCUCCAGGGAAAAGGAAAGUGGUCGUGGCUACUAACAUUGCUGAGGCUUCUUUGACUAUUGAUGGGAUAUUUUAUGUAAUUGAUCCUGGAUUUGCUAAGCAAAAUGUUUAUAACCCAAAGCAAGGUCUUGAUUCUUUGGUAAUAACUCCAAUUUCACAAGCAUCAGCCAAACAAAGAGCUGGACGUGCAGGGCGUACUGGACCUGGGAAGUGUUAUCGCCUUUAUACCGAGAGUGCAUACAGGAAUGAGAUGUCUCCCACUACAAUUCCUGAGAUUCAAAGGAUAAAUCUGGGGAUGACUACACUUAAUAUGAAAGCAAUGGGGAUAAAUGAUCUACUGUCCUUUGAUUUUAUGGAUCCACCAUCACCUCAAGCACUGAUUUCUGCCAUGGAGCAGCUUUACAGUCUUGGAGCAUUGGAUGAAGAGGGCCUUCUGACCAAAUUGGGGAGGAAAAUGGCAGAAUUUCCUUUGGAUCCACCUUUGUCCAAGAUGUUGCUUGCCAGCGUCGACCUUGGAUGCAGUGAUGAGAUUUUGACCAUAAUUGCCAUGAUCCAGACUGGUAAUAUUUUCUACAGGCCAAGGGAAAAGCAAGCCCAAGCAGAUCAGAAGAGGGCAAAGUUUUUCCAGCCAGAGGGUGAUCAUCUGACACUACUUGCUGUUUAUGAGGCUUGGAAAGCCAAGAAUUUUUCUGGGCCCUGGUGUUUUGAGAAUUUUGUGCAAUCUAGAUCGUUGAGAAGAGCACAGGAUGUCAGGAAACAACUGCUCACCAUUAUGGAUAAGUACAAAUUGGAUGUUGUAAGUGCUGGAAAAAACUUCACCAAAGUAAGGAAGGCUAUCACUGCUGGAUUCUUUUUUCACGCUGCCAGAAAGGAUCCCCAGGAAGGAUACAGAACUCUAGUUGAGAACCAACCUGUGUAUAUCCAUCCAAGUUCUGCUUUGUUCCAGAGGCAGCCAGACUGGGUCAUAUACCAUGAGCUUGUGAUGACAACUAAGGAGUAUAUGCGUGAGGUCACUGUCAUAGACCCCAAAUGGCUUGUUGAGCUGGCUCCAAGAUUUUUCAAAGUAGCAGAUCCUACAAAGAUGAGCAAGCGGAAGCGUCAAGAGCGAAUUGAGCCACUUUAUGAUAGAUACCACGAGCCAAAUUCAUGGCGUUUGAGUAAACGUCGUGCAUGAUAUAUUAAGUUCUAUCAUCAUCCAUCUUGUGCAUCUGAAGGGAAGAUAUUCCUGAAGAAAAUCUGUCUGCAGAAUUUGUAUGCUAGAAUUGAGAGAAAGGUGCUAAUACUCUUAAAUGGAGUGUGGCUUUAAAGGUGCACUUGCACUGAUACAUCAAGAAUGUGCUGUUAAAUGGUUUAACAUUAAAUGCAGCAGAUCAUCUGAUUGCAGACAUGAAGUUCUCUACCUACCUGUCAGUGACAUGAUCUGUUACUAUUACAGGCUGCUCGUUUGAUGUAUUAUUGGGAAACUCAUCGUUUGUAAUUGGAGGAUAACUGCUGAAAACCCGCAUCACCUACUAAAUGACUGCGGUCUCUGGAACACAAGAUGAUUUAAGUGUCCACACCAGGAAAUAAAUAAAGUGGUGUUUCAUGAACAUACUAACCAAUAUGAGGAAGCUUGGUGAUUGAACUUUGCUUCUUCAGUCGUGUUGGAUGAACCAUUUAAGCCAUUCUCAAAAUUGAAGUGUUUGUUGUUUACUUCAGUGAAUGCUCGAGAUUGUGGCAUUGUGAAGGCCCAUACCCUGAUAAUCAUUUGGUUGUGAGCAAACACCAAGUAUGCUAUCAUUUGCCAUGAUGGAAACGGGAUCAUAUUUAUAGAGAAAAAUGGGAAAAUUCCCCUGAAUACAGUAUGAUUGCAGAUCUUCGGGGGUUUGCACUUCCCAUUGUCCAAAGGCUAGUCUUUAUUUCACCCGGGUCAAACACAAACAUGUGAAGGCUCCCAUACUCUUCCAGCACUCUUUCCUCCAGAGCAUCAGAACCUCUGUAGUUAGUCUAAAGAGAUACCAUGUCGCUUUCUGCAAAAACUGAACUUUUGCUCGGAUUAGCUGAUGAGAUCUAUCAUAGUCCUUUUCUGGUUGUAGUUUGCUUCUUCUCUAUAGUGUGGCUCUUGUUUUUAUACCUUGGAAUGCUCGUAUCUUUGUUUCUUUCUUCAGGUUCUUGAUUCAGAAUGUUGAGCAGUUGCUGUGUUCUCCUGCUUUUCUUCCCUUGGUUUCUUCCUCUCUCAUCAUGUUUCUUUUGUUCUUCUCUGUUUGCUUUUAUUGUUGGAUUUCUCCUUCUUGGAAUGUUCCCUUUCAUAGAAUUCUGGCAGCCCCCAAUUCUGUAUAAAUUUCUGAUUUCCUCAUUUCUUCAUUUCUUGUCUUAGUCUCAUGUUCCGUUCUUUCUAAUAAUUCUCAAUCUUCUUUUAUGUUUUCUUGCUGCCUUUCACUCCAGCCUCUACCUUGAUCAUCCACCGAUAGGCCUCCCUUCCAUGAAUCUUUGAAUCAAUCCUUAAGCCAUUUUCAUGACAACUUCCUCUCAUGUAUCCUAGAUCAGGACUCUGAUACCGAUUGCUAGAUGUUAUGAAACAGGAAGAACAUUCCAAUAUGAAACAGGAAAACUCUGAUAAUGAUCAAGGUCGGAACAAUUUCAUUUAUUAUUUAUUAUAUUAAUUUGACUUUUUAUAUUC